UACGUAGGGUGCAAGCGUUAUCCGGAAUUAUUGGGCGUAAAGGGCGCGUAGGCGGUCGGAUAAGUCUUGUGUGAAAUCUUCGGGCUCAACUCGAAGUCUGCACAGGAAACUAUCUGGCUUGAGUGUGGGAGAGGUGAGUGGAAUUCCUGGUGUAGCGGUGGAAUGCGCAGAUAUCAGGAGGAACACCGAUGGCGAAGGCAGGUCACUGGGCCGCAACUGACGCUGAGACGCGAAAGCGUGGGGAGCAAACAGG
rnacentral:rRNA from 1 species